CAGUCGCCACGGGAAUACGGAGGGUGCGAGCGUUAAUCGGAAUUACUGGGCGUAAAGCGCGCGUAGGUGGUUCGUUAAGUUGGAUGUGAAAUCCCCGGGCUCAACCUGGGAACUGCAUUCAAAACUGACGAGCUAGAGUAUGGUAGAGGGUGGUGGAAUUUCCUGUGUAGCGGUGAAAUGCGUAGAUAUAGGAAGGAACACCAGUGGCGAAGGCGACCACCUGGACUGAUACUGACACUGAGGUGCGGAAGCGUGGGGAGCAAACAGGAUUAGAUACCCCGGUAGUCCCUGUCUCUUAUAC
rnacentral:rRNA from 1 species